AUUGAACGCUGGCGGCAGGCCUAACACAUGCAAGUCGAGCGGAUGAAGGGAGCUUGCUCCUGGAUUCAGCGGCGGACGGGUGAGUAAUGCCUAGGAAUCUGCCUGGUAGUGGGGGAUAACGUCCGGAAACGGGCGCUAAUGCCGCAUACGUCCUGAGGGAGAAAGUGGGGGAUCUUCGGACCUCACGCUAUCAGAUGAGCCUAGGUCGGAUUAGCUAGUUGGUGGGGUAAAGGCCUACCAAGGCAACGAUCCGUAACUGGUCUGAGAGGAUGAUCAGUCACACUGGAACUGAGACACGGUCCAGACUCCUACGGGAGGCAGCAGUGGGGAAUAUUGGACAAUGGGCGAAAGCCUGAUCCAGCCAUGCCGCGUGUGUGAAGAAGGUCUUCGGAUUGUAAAGCACUUUAAGUUGGGAGGAAGGGCAGUAAGUUAAUACCUUGCUGUUUUGACGUUACCAACAGAAUAAGCACCGGCUAACUUCGUG
rnacentral:rRNA from 1 species